rnacentral:rRNA from 1 species
AGAGUUUGAUCAUGGCUCAGAUUGAACGCUGGCGGCAGGCCUAACACAUGCAAGUCGAGCGGUAGCACAGAGAGCUUGCUCUCGGGUGACGAGCGGCGGACGGGUGAGUAAUGUCUGGGAAACUGCCUGAUGGAGGGGGAUAACUACUGGAAACGGUAGCUAAUACCGCAUAAUGUCGCAAGACCAAAGUGGGGGACCUUCGGGCCUCAUGCCAUCAGAUGUGCCCAGAUGGGAUUAGCUAGUAGGUGGGGUAACGGCUCACCUAGGCGACGAUCCCUAGCUGGUCUGAGAGGAUGACCAGCCACACUGGAACUGAGACACGGUCCAGACUCCUACGGGAGGCAGCAGUGGGGAAUAUUGCACAAUGGGCGCAAGCCUGAUGCAGCCAUGCCGCGUGUGUGAAGAAGGCCUUCGGGUUGUAAAGCACUUUCAGCGGGGAGGAAGGCGGUGAGGUUAAUAACCUCAUCGAUUGACGUUACCCGCAGAAGAAGCACCGGCUAACUCCGUGCCAGCAGCCGCGGUAAUACGGAGGGUGCAAGCGUUAAUCGGAAUUACUGGGCGUAAAGCGCACGCAGGCGGUCUGUCAAGUCGGAUGUGAAAUCCCCGGGCUCAACCUGGGAACUGCAUUCGAAACUGGCAGGCUAGAGUCUUGUAGAGGGGGGUAGAAUUCCAGGUGUAGCGGUGAAAUGCGUAGAGAUCUGGAGGAAUACCGGUGGCGAAGGCGGCCCCCUGGACAAAGACUGACGCUCAGGUGCGAAAGCGUGGGGAGCAAACAGGAUUAGAUACCCUGGUAGUCCACGCCGUAAACGAUGUCGAUUUGGAGGUUGUGCCCUUGAGGCGUGGCUUCCGGAGCUAACGCGUUAAAUCGACCGCCUGGGGAGUACGGCCGCAAGGUUAAAACUCAAAUGAAUUGACGGGGGCCCGCACAAGCGGUGGAGCAUGUGGUUUAAUUCGAUGCAACGCGAAGAACCUUACCUGGUCUUGACAUCCACAGAACUUUCCAGAGAUGGAUUGGUGCCUUCGGGAACUGUGAGACAGGUGCUGCAUGGCUGUCGUCAGCUCGUGUUGUGAAAUGUUGGGUUAAGUCCCGCAACGAGCGCAACCCUUAUCCUUUGUUGCCAGCGGUCCGGCCGGGAACUCAAAGGAGACUGCCAGUGAUAAACUGGAGGAAGGUGGGGAUGACGUCAAGUCAUCAUGGCCCUUACGACCAGGGCUACACACGUGCUACAAUGGCAUAUACAAAGAGAAGCGA